rnacentral:SRP_RNA from 1 species
AGCGGAUCCUGCAGAGGCGGGUGGCCCUGGGGGUGGUUGGCGGCAUCACGCCCUG